AUUGAACGCUGGCGGCAGGCCUAACACAUGCAAGUCGAACGAGUGGCGGACGGGUGAGUAAUGUCUGAGAAACUGCCUGAUGGAGGGGGCUAACUACUGGAAACGGUAGCUAAUACCGCAUACCAUCGGAUGUGCCCAGAUGGGUUUAGCUAGUAGGUGGGGUAAAGGGUCACCUAGGCGACGAUCCCUAGCUGGUCUGAGAGGCUGACCAGCCACAAUGGGACUGAGACACGGUCCAGACUACUACGGGAGGGAGCAGUGGGGAAUAUUGCACAAUGGGCGAAAGCCUGAGGGAGCCAUGCCGCGUGUAUGAAGAAGGCCUUCGGGUUGUAAAGUACUUUCAGCGGGGAGGCGUUACCCGCAGAAGAAGCACCGGCUAACUCCGUGCCAGCAGCCGCGGUAAUUC
rnacentral:rRNA from 1 species